rnacentral:rRNA from 1 species
AUGUUGAUGUUUUUUAUUGUGAUGGUGAUAAAGUUGCCUCCACUUUUUCCAGCAAUGAACAUUAAAAAUGAUGCCAUUUUGUUUGACAUAGACGAACCUUAUGCAAAGAACUUUCCCACAUGGAGAGUGGAGAUCAUUGUCUCAUGUAAGGAAUCUCCCAAUGUUUUUCUGCCACUAAGGUUGAAGGAUGUUAAUCAUGAUGAUAAGGCAGACAUUGGGAGAGAUCUCAAGACGCAUGUGCCAUCAUGCACAUUACUAAUGCAAAGGAGACUAAAGUCAAAACUAUUGGAUUUAUUCCACUAG